rnacentral:lncRNA from 1 species
UGAAUUUGAUUGGAAUUUGAUUUGGGAGGUCCACACUACCCCAGAAUGUAAAUUUCUCAACAUUUUCAUGAUAGUAAUUUCCAUCUUUGAUUUUUGUAGGAAUGUAAUACUCGUAAGAGAAAGCAAGUUGAAAAACCAGAUGCUCCAAGGUUAUCCACUUCCAGGUUUAAAGUUCCCAAAUUGAAGAGUGCCUCUCCACGUACCACAUACUAAAAUGAAAAAAUGAAAAGAAAUGAAAAAAGAAAAAAAGUAAAAAAGAAAAGAGAGGAAAAAAAAGGAAAAAAAAAAGAAAAAGAAAAGAAAAAAUGGAAUAAGAGAAGAAAAAAACAAACUAUGCUACUUAAAGAAAAGAAAAAAUGGAAUAAGAGAAGAAAAAAACAAACUAUGUAAUUGUAGUAGCAGGCCAGGAGUAUUGAUCAUGUGUAUGACAACUAUUGGAACGCUGCAAGCACGUCCACCAAAGUAAGUAGUGUUGCUUUAAUUCCUAAUCUUUCAUGUGUAUUAUAGGCAAUGAACCAUUUACUAGGGAUGAUUUGAUAACAAUUCAAGUAUGCAAUAGUGUCCAUUCAUUGUGUUCUGUUUGCUGAAAGUUGAUACUAAAAAUUUCAAUGACCUUUUUGUCUUGAGAUGUGUAUUUUACGAGAUAUCUACAAUAUGUAAUCCAUCGAAUGGAAGGGCAACUGAAAAAUAUCCUGUCUUUGUGUCCAUUAGACGUUACCCUAUGCCAUUGUUUUGAAAUGCCCACCAACCCAUUUUGAUGGAGAGCUUGAAGUGUCAACAUUGCUCAUGGUAUAACUGUGAAAUUCAAGUAUCCAUGCACUGCCAUGGAAUGUUAACCCAUGAUCAGAAAAUGAGACUGAUCGAAAUGUAUAACUUUCAGGAUUUUAAUUUCAAAAUUUCAUGGAAAGGAAUAAAUUUAUCAGAUUGGUACUCUACUUGUAGAAAUUUUAAAUAUGAUGCAAACUAUCAAAAAUUUGAUUUUUGUGAGAUUGCUUUUGUGUUUGCAUGAUUUGUGAGAAAAGUAAUUUUAUGAUUUAUUUGAUUUAGCAGUAGACAUUGAAGUCGUGUAUGAAUAUCACGUCGAAAAUUGAAUGCACAUUAUAUAAUCGAGUGUGAUCAUUUCGAUAUUUGUCAAACUUGUCAGGUAAAAAGCACAAAUACUUCAGAUGCUGCCUCAUGGUCCUUCACUUCUACUUCUUAUGAUCGUGUCACUAAGUAUAAAUAUGAAUAUGUCAAAGGUGAAGAAACCCUUAGAAGAAAGGGUAUGUUUGGUUACACAAUACAUGGUGACUUGAACGUAGAACUGCAUUGUGACUUAGCUUCCAGGGAAUGUGAAAAUUUAUCACAUUAUGUGAGUGUGGCUACUGCAAUGGUUAUCUUUCCAUCAAAGUAUUAGGUAUGC